GACGAACGCUGGCGGCGUGCUUAACACACGCAAGUCGAGCGGAAAGGCCACUUCGGUGGUACUCGAGCGGCGAACGGGUGAGUAACACGUGAGUAAUCUGCCCUCCACUUUGGGAUAGCCACCGGAAACGGUGAUUAAUACCGGAUAUGACAUGUACCUGCAUGGGUGGGCGUGGAAAGUUUUUUAGGUGGGGGAUGUGCGCGCGGCCUAUCAGGUUGAUGGUGGGGUAAUGGCCUACCAUGGCUGCGACGGGUAGCCGGCCUGAGAGGGUGGCCGGCCACACUGGGACUGAGACACGGCCCAGACUCCUACGGGAGGCAGCAGUGGGGAAUAUUGCACAAUGGGCGCAAGCCUGAUGCAGCAACGCCGCGUGCGGGAUGACGGCCUUCGGGUUGUAAACCGCUUUUAGUAGGGAAGAAGCCUUUCGGGGUGACGGUACCUGCAGAAAAAGGACCGGCUAACUACGUGCCAGCAGCCGCCGUAACAC
rnacentral:rRNA from 1 species